rnacentral:rRNA from 1 species
UACGGGGGGUGCAAGCGUUGUCCGGAAUGAUUGGGCGUAAAGCAUCUGUAGGUGGUUUUUAAAGUCGACUGUUAAAGCCCAGGGCUCAACUUUGGAUAAGCGGUCGAGUCCUUAAGGACUUGAGUAUGGUAGGGGUAGAGGGAAUUCCUAGUGGAGCGGUGAAAUGCACAGAGAUUAGGAAGAACACCGAGGGCGAAAGCACUCUACUGGGCCGUGACUGACACUGAGAGAUGAAAGUUGGGGGAGCGAAAAGG